GUAGGUGGCAAGCGUUGUCCGGAAUUAUUGGGCGUAAAGCGCGCGCAGGCGGUUCUUUAAGUCUGAUGUGAAAGCCCACGGCUCAACCGUGGAGGGUCAUUGGAAACUGGAGAACUUGAGUACAGAAGAGGAAAGCGGAAUCCCACGUGUAGCGGUGAAAUGCGUAGAGAUGUGGGGGAACACCAGUGGCGAAGGCGGCUUUCUGGUCUGUAACUGACGCUGAGGCGCGAAAGCGUGGGGAGCAAACAGGAUUAGAUACCCUGGUAGUCCACGCCGUAAACGAUGAGUGCUAAGUGUUAGGGGGUUUCCGCCCCCCUUAGUGCUGCAGCUAACGCAUUAAGCACUCCGCCUGGGAGUACGGCCGCAAGGCUG
rnacentral:rRNA from 1 species